GUACCAGUUUUGGUGUCAACUAGAAAAGGUGAGUAUAUCAUAGUGGUUUAAACAUCAACCUAUUUAUAGGUAAGAGUAACAUCUAAAAGAGUAAUACAUAGGAAUCUUUAGAAAUUAUAUCUUAGUUAUGUUUUUCAGGUUGCAAAUAUAUGUCCUGGAUACAUGAAUGUGGGGAGGGGAUAUGCUGGGUUUACAGGACACGGUAACAUGGGACCUAUGUCAGCACUCAAGCACUCUUGGUUCCAGAGCGUCCAUGACCACUGUGCACACACAGCAGGUUUCAUGAGAAGGUGGAGCACUGGCUCAUGGUUGUUAGGAGGCACCAGCUGACCUGUUUCCUGUAUAGGCUCAACCUCCUCAGAAGUGGACACCCAUUACUUCUCGCUGUUUCUGUGUGAUCUCCAUUUCACAUUUCUAAAGGGUGGAUCUUUUGGGGUCACUUGCUAUUUUCUAAUACAGAAUGCUCCCGUCAAGCUCCCUUAUUGAUAACUGAUAUCUCUUAUGUCCUGCCAGCAGUGCACGAUUGGCUUUGAGACUCCCUGAUCCACUCACUCGUAACCAGCCAAGUACUAUGACCCAAACUAUAGCAGAAUUUGGCACAAACAGGUCCCUGGUAGCUACUUUCCUCAGGAAGGCCUAUGGAUUUGGAAAACACAGGUGUCUCAUAAGGACAUACUCAUAAAUUGUUUUCAUGUACAAUAAUUCUUGUGUGUACUUUCCUCCUGUUGUCAUCAAAGUGGUCACAUAUUAAAACUUUUCUGCUAAAUAUGAAUCCUCAUGUUUAAUGGCAGAGAACCCACCAUUCCCAGCACACUUACUUCUGUCUCUGGACUAAUCUUGAGUAAUUGGUUUUCCUUUGCUUAGGUCUUAUUGAAGUUAAAACAGAUGAGUUUCCUCGCCAUGGGAGCAACAUAGAAGCCAUGUCCAAGCUAAAGCCUUACUUUCUUACUGAUGGAACGGGAACAGUCACCCCAGCCAAUGCUUCAGGAAUAAAUGAUGGUGCUGCAGCUGUCGUUCUUAUGAAGAAGUCAGAAGCUGAUAAACGUGGGCUUACACCUUUAGCACGGAUAGUUUCCUGGUCCCAAGUGGGUGUGGAGCCUUCCAUUAUGGGAAUAGGACCAAUUCCAGCCAUAAAGCAAGCUGUUACAAAAGCAGGUUGGUCACUGGAAGAUGUUGACGUAUUUGAAAUCAAUGAAGCCUUUGCAGCCGUCUCUGCUGCAAUAGUUAAAGAACUUGGAUUAAACCCAGAGAAGGUCAAUAUUGAAGGAGGGGCUAUAGCCUUGGGCCACCCUCUUGGAGCAUCUGGCUGUCGAAUUCUUGUGACCCUGUUACACACACUGGAGAGAACGGGCAGAAGUCGUGGUGUUGCAGCCCUGUGCAUUGGGGGUGGGAUGGGAAUAGCAAUGUGUGUUCAGAGAGAAUGAAUUGCUUAAACUUUGAACAACCUCAAUUUCUUUUUAAACUAAUAAAGUACUAGGUUGCAAUAUGUGAAAUCAGAGGACCAAAGUACAGAUGGAAACCAUUUCCUACAUCACAAAAACCCAAGUUUACAGCUUGUACUUUACUUUAAUGUGUAAUACUCAACUCAAGGUACAAGACAAUUGCAUUUAACAUUGUUAUAAAUAAAAGAGACAUCAGAUC
rnacentral:sRNA from 1 species